rnacentral:rRNA from 1 species
AGGGGGGGGGCGCUUAUACAUGCAGUCGAGCGGUAAGGCCUUUCGGGGUACACGAGCGGCGAACGGGUGAGUAACACGUGGGUGAUCUGCCCUGCACUCUGGGAUAAGCCUGGGAAACUGGGUCUAAUACUGGAUAUGACCUCAGCAUGCAUGUGCUGGGGUGGAAAGCUUUUGUGGUGCAGGAUGGGCCCGCGGCCUAUCAGCUUGUUGGUGGGGUAAUGGCCUACCAAGGCGACGACGGGUAGCCGACCUGAGAGGGUGACCGGCCACACUGGGACUGAGACACGGCCCAGACUCCUACGGGAGGCAGCAGUGGGGAAUAUUGCACAAUGGGCGGAAGCCUGAUGCAGCGACGCCGCGUGAGGGAUGAAGGCCUUCGGGUUGUAAACCUCUUUCAGCAGGGACGAAGCGUGAGUGACGGUACCUGCAGAAGAAGCACCGGCUAACUACGUGCCAGCAGCCGCGGUAAUACGUAGGGUGCGAGCGUUGUCCGGAAUUACUGGGCGUAAAGAGUUCGUAGGCGGUUUGUCGCGUCGUUUGUGAAAACCCGGGGCUCAACUUCGGGCUUGCAGGCGAUACGGGCAGACUUGAGUGUUUCAGGGGAGACUGGAAUUCCUGGUGUAGCGGUGAAAUGCGCAGAUAUCAGGAGGAACACCGGUGGCGAAGGCGGGUCUCUGGGAAACAACUGACGCUGAGGAACGAAAGCGUGGGUAGCAAACAGGAUUAGAUACCCUGGUAGUCCACGCCGUAACGGUGGGCGCUAGGUGUGGGUUCCUUCCACGGGAUCUGUGCCGUAGCUA